CCCCAUAACACCAAUCAAUGUUUUUAUUCUUUUUUCUUUCUUCAUAUGGGAUAACGGCCCUGGGUAGAUACGGAGAACGACGGCUGGUCGAAGUUUCAAAACGUCCCAUGGUCCGAAGCCUACAGCGCACUUGGCUCGCUGGAUCUGGUUCAUCAGGCAAGAAAAAUAUCCCAACACCUUAGGUAUACGUUCCUUCCCAAGGAGAAGCAGGGGUGAUGGAAGAGCGGCCAGAGCGCGUUCCAACAAAAAAGCAGCGUCAGCUCAAGGCCCCGUGUAAUUUUUCGAAUCGUCGUCACCAAGGAGAACCUCCCAAUGGCUCGGGCUGAGGAAACAAUUGUGGGCAUGUGUCUUUCAUUUCGCCUGGCUGAGGGGGGAAAACAAGAGCACGCGGCAUAUCGAAACGUGGAAACAAACCACCUACUAUUUCGUACGUGUACAUCGGAUGGUAUAUCCUGCGUGUCCUGUGUUAUUGUAUGGUUGGUUUCUUUGGUACAGGAGUGGUCCUACCUAGGCAAUACUAGUAUGUAACGGCGAUUCCCGACGGCCUGAGGUUAUUGUUUUUGGAAUCAAAUCUCCCUUUUGCGCUGGAUGCGUGGGAGGUGGUGGUGGGGGCAAACGGGGGCUGUUCUUUCGCAUGGUUGAAAUGAAACCCAAGGCUAGAUGACGAACGUGUUCAAGAUAGCAUGCUCCGUAAAUUUGGGAAGGGGUUGGAGACAUGUAUAGUACAUUGGUAAUCGACUUGAUAGCGGAUGGAUGCCCUACAAGAUCCAGGUUUUGUAUUGGGAGGAGAGGAGGAGAGGAGAAGGGAAAGAAAGGGAGAGCGAGAGAUCACAGAAAAACGCUGGCACUUUCAUAUAUCUAACCCAGAUAGAUAGAAGAAAGACGAAGGACGCACAAGCUGCUUAUGGAUCUAUCUCAGACUGCACUCUGUGACUUUGACACAGCUUCUUGUUGUUGCAUCCCUAGACCGUUGGUCACGAGUGGUAUAGGUACUGGGCAAGCCGUGACCGACUCGGCGUCUGUAAUGUAGAAAUAGGAUGGAUAGCGUACUUUUUUAUAUAUACUUGGAAUACUUGGAAUACUUGGGGUUUGAGUAUUUAUCCCCACCCUGAUAUGUCUUAGAAGGAAUCAUCUUCAAACGGAGGGAGGCAGUUGAAAAUAGUAUGGAUGCUGUCAUGCACACAGCAUGGAUCAACAGGCCAAACGAAGAGAGCCGAACCGCCACAAAAAAAAAUGGUUAGUUUAUAGUUCUGAUCUAGAAAUACAACUGUGAAAGCAAAUGCAAUGUGCGUGAUUCACAAGUUUUGUCUUAUUUAUUUUUUUCAUUUUUCUGGGAGCUUCAAAAAAAGCGGCAGGAAUAAUAAAAAAACAAUAGGAGCGAGGACUAUCGCUAUGAGAAAAUAGAAGAAAAAAGGAGAAAAAACCAAGGACACGGAUAUGAAAAAAACUAAGACUGGAAAAUGUAGAUCAUACAUAUCUUUCGAUUUUUAAGCGGAAAACCCAAAAGAAAUGGCAGAGGGUAAAAAGGGGAUGAUUGCAAUUACAUAAAAUCGAGAAGGUAGUUAUACAAUUGAUGUUCAAUUUUCCUUCCUUAUUUUUUAUUAUCUUUGUUUCUGCCUUCUGUCGUUGGCUUAUCACAUUGUUUGGUCUACCACACACGGUUGGCGUCAUGAAUUUUCUUGCGCCUUAUCAAGCACUAUCUUCUAUGUAAUCCUCUACUGUGGCUGCGCGGGAUUUGCCCUUAGACAACGAUUGAUCUGACACCUCCCGCCUCUCAUCAAUAUUGUCUCCUUCUCCGUCUGUCGCUGGUGACGUGUCAUCACCAGGCGCUGCAGCUACAGGCUUGUGAAUUGUUUCGUUCGAUAUUGUUGAACCCCAGUCUGGAGGAGCAGAAGAGGGGCUAGCUGAAGUGUGGCCCCUCGUCGAACUGGUCUGUUCCGGCUCAGCCUGGGAUCCAUGACUUGGUGAGGAGAAUGGGAAUGCCAGGUUUGAAGAAGUUGAAUCCAUGUUAGGCUGUUCAACGUUCAAUGACGCGUGGUGGAGCGAUGUCCCGCGGUCGGUCGUUUCGGUAGUAGAGGGUGUGAAAGUGGGUAAUGUUUGGGAGGAUAAUUGAGUAUUAGGCGUUUGUGAUGCGUGUGUCGGGAAUGGAGGAUUUGCAGAAUGAAAAGUAGAAAUUUGGGUAGAUGCUUGUCCCGCAUAGUUAACCUGUUGUAGAGGUAACAAUGUCCAACCUUGCGGCAGGCUAAGCCCUUCAGGGAGACGACUAUCCCCCGAGCCAAGUGCAGGGAUUUGUGGAUUGGAUGUGAACUGCCUUUGGGUGCCAGUGGAGGGAACAUGUGAUGAUGCUAUAGCAGUAGGGGUAACAGCUGGAGCAGGUACCUGUGGCUGUGGCUGUGGAUGUGGAUGUGGCUGAUGUGGUGGUUGUGUAUGCGGAUGCGCCACGUUUGCUUGAACAGCACGAAGUCUGGUUAAUUCAGCUUGUAACAAACGGACCACUUGUAGUUGCUCAGCCGUAGUCCGCAGACUUUCAAUUACUUGUGAAAUAUGCUGCUCAACUUGCUGAAGCUGAGCCUGUGUAUGCUGGAGGUUGAUUUGCGCGUUUGGUACGGUUGGUUGUGGAAUUUGUUGGACUGGAGCCGGUUGUUGGACUGGAGGCGGUCGCUCAAAGCCAAAUCCAAAGCCAAAUUGUUGCGGUCCAGCUGGCAGGUUGUCCGGGUUACCUCCAGCCUGAGCAGGUGGUGCUUGGCCAUUGUGAACCUGUUGUGCUAAGUUUUGGAAUAAAUCUCCACGGCCAGCUCCAAAUCCGAUACGAAUGGGCCCGAAGUUGAGAACCCAUGCUCUUGGUCGAGCUUCGCCAGGUUGACCAU
rnacentral:sRNA from 2 species